GUUUGAUCCUGGCUCAGAAUCAACGCUGGCGGCGUGCCUAACACAUGCAAGUCGAACGCGAAAGUCCCGCAAGGGAUAAGUAGAGUGGCAAACGGGUGAGUAACACGUGGGUGACCUGCCUUCGAGCGGGGGAUAACGUCCCGAAAGGGACGCUAAUACCGCAUGACAUCCUGCCUUUGAAGAGGUGGAGAUCAAAGCCGGGGAUCGCAAGACCUGGCACUCGAAGAGGGGCCCGCGCCUGAUUAGCUAGUUGGUGGGGUAACGGCUCACCAAGGCGACGAUCAGUAGCCGGCCUGAGAGGGCGGACGGCCACACUGGGACUGAGACACGGCCCAGACUCCUACGGGAGGCAGCAGUGGGGAAUUGUUCGCAAUGGGCGCAAGCCUGACGACGCAACGCCGCGUGGAGGACGAAGACCUUCGGGUCGUAAACUCCUUUCGAUCGAGACGAACGGCCUUCGGGUGAACAAUCCGGAGGAGUGACGGUACCGAGAGAAGAAGCCCCGGCUAACUCCGUGCCAGCAGCCGCGGUAAUACGGGGGGGGCAAGCGUUGUUCGGAAUUACUGGGCGUAAAGGGCUCGUAGGUGGCCAACUAAGUCAGACGUGAAAUCCCUCGGCUUAACCGGGGAACUGCGUCUGAUACUGGAUGGCUUGAGUUUGGGAGAGGGAUGCGGAAUUCCAGGUGUAGCGGUGAAAUGCGUAGAUAUCUGGAGGAACACCGGUGGCGAAGGCGGCAUCCUGGACCAACACUGACACUGAGGAGCGAAAGCCAGGGGAGCAAACGGGAUUAGAUACCCCGGUAGUCCUGGCCCUAAACGAUGAAUGCUUGGUGUGGCGGGCAUCGAUCCCUGCCGUGCCGAAGCUAACGCAUUAAGCAUUC
rnacentral:rRNA from 1 species